rnacentral:lncRNA from 1 species
CAAACAGGAACAAAUAUCAAAAAAUUGACCAUCAAACGGGAGGCAUAGGAUGCACUGAUGGUGGAGAUGAUCAACUGAUGGUGCUGCUUUCCUCAAGGGCAAAUGGUAGAAGCUUCAUAUCAACAAGUAGCGGAGUUUCAGAUCCAGCUGACAUAUUGGGGCAAGCCAAGAGGGAAAUAUCACAUCCAACUAAAGCAAUGAUGAAUCAAGGAGAGGAGCAACCCAUUUUCUCUCUCUCUCUUAAAUGGAGAUCUUAACAAGGCAGCAACCAACUCUCUC